GACAGGAAUACAAUAUGGCGGUGGGCCCCUUCAGGCUCUCUGGUGGAGGUACCGCUGCGGGGGUCCCCAGCCCCACUUCCCGCCCUUUCUUUCCAGUCCAGGGUCAGCGAGGCGUUAUCGCCAGCGCCUGCAUCCGGGAUGAAGAGGUUUGGCAGGAGAACAGACACAAUGCGACGGCUGCCCAGUCUGAAGCCCACGAUGAUGGCGGCCUCUGCACCCAUUCCUGCAAGUUGUCCUGCACAGUGCACAGUGACAGAAUCUGGUUCUCUUGCACUAACGUGAACUUAUGGACAUGAAUAUUUAUGAGCUCACACGAGGUACGUAGAACAUUUGGGAAGCCCAAGGUCCUCUCUGAAGCUUGUACUUCACAAAUGCUUCGUCAUAGCUCUCAAAACCACACAUCAUCAUAGUGCAGUGACCUGUACACAACACGGCACAGAGCUGGGUGUGGUGGUGCACACUUGUGAUCCCAGCACUGGGAAGGCUGAGGCAGGAGGAUCACCGUGUGGUCAAAGCCAGUCCGGGCUACAUAGUGAGACCCUGUCUCAAAAAACCCCAUCCCUCCAAAACAAACAAAACACAAAUUCCAAACAGAAAAAAGCUGAAAACCCUCCACAAAGCUGUACUGUCUGAAACAUUGGAUGAGACUACCGAGCUGUGGGAAUUCUGGCUGAAAAGCUACUUUUGUGGUUGAAGAUAUUUACAAGUCCAGGUGUUAUUGUUUUCAUGAAGUGGCAACAUGGAAAACAGCAGCCUAUCAAAACUAAUGCACAGUUAUCCCUCAGCAUCCUUGGGGUAGCAUCUGGGAACCCCAGAGAGCCAAAAUUUGAGGGUGUUCAAGCUGCUGAUGUAAAAUGGCACAGUGCUGCAUGUAGCCGUGCACAACCUAUGGCAUGUUUUGUGGCAUCUCUGGUGUGUGUAGGACCACAGAGAGUGUAGGUGCCGGGAAACAGUUAUUCUGCUGUUGCUGGCGAGGUGGCGCACACCUGCAAUCCCAGCACCUGGGAGGCGGAACAGGGAGGAUCCCCAGAGCUCAAGGCCGGCCUGGGCCACAUAGCGAGACCCUGCCUGGGAACAAACAAACAAAACAUAGUUGAUAUGCAAUAUUUUUCAGGAAAUGAUGAGAAGGAAAAAGUGCCAACACGUUGAGUAUAGACACAACUAAAAGACUUCAAACUGAAGUUGAAGUCAAAGAUGCAGAACACGGAGCAGGCUUUAUUUUAUUACGUGAUUUAAAUAUGUGAUAGUACAUUAUUAGCAGUAUGAGAGGCAAGUCUGAAAAAAGUUCCAGGGUAUGAGUUGGUCAGAACUGUGGGUCUCUGUCAGAAGAUAGGACCGGCCUUGUGUUUGGGAGCGAGCGGGUGGUGGUUCUUACACGUGACAAGCCCCUGCGCCCACCAGCCCUCCACCAGCUCCUCAGAAGCGCAGGCUGCAGACUCAGCACCCUGUUUCUCAGUCAGGACUGAGAGGUUGGAACAGGGUGGCAGCAGGGAGGGCACAGACUGCAGAUGCAGAACACAGCACAGAUAAGCGGAGCAGACAGCACCCUGGAGGUCAGAGAGUACAGGAGGGGAGAAAUGCUCACAAUUCCUGUUUAGGCUGGGUGUGCACCUGUAAUCCCAGCACUUGGGAGGCUGAAGCAAGAGGAUCACGAGUUUGAGGCCAGCCUGGACAACAUACUUCAGCCUUGUUGCAAUUUUUAGAAAUCCUGUUUAGCAUGGUUACAACAGAAAAGGGUUUUAUGUUCAGGAGUAAACUUCAUCGACCUGGUGUCUUGUUCCAAACAGUCUGGACAGAUGAGGUGACCCUCUGUAGCAGUGCAUGGGGGGGACCUCUGGCACCGCGCCACAGCGGGCUGUUUGUGUCGUUGAAAGCUCUGAAAGGUUCUCCAUGGCUGCUGUAGAGUCAGCUCUUCAGCCUGUGCGUGUCCUCUGGGGUGCAGAGCGAGUGCAGGCAUGAGGCGGAAGUGCAGCAGGAAGCGGGCUGCUGGGCGAGUUUCUCGUCCAGCGGGUGACAGACGCCGAGGGCUGAGGACCCCAGGCUGACGUGGCCUUCUGCAAGGGCAGGAAAGGGGUCUGGAUGGAACACAGCAGGGACGAGAGACACGGCUCCCACCACCUAGGCUCCUGGGGAGGGGACUCAGGAGAGCUGUCCUCGCCGAAGCCACAGCUGUGCCAGUCCAGGUGCGGGUGGCCUGAAGUGAGCCAUGAUACUGGCGCAUGAGCCAAAUUGGAAAAAGUAAAGGCAACUUGGUCUGAUUGUCAAUUCCAACCAGCAUUUCGGCCCAGCCCGCACAUAACUCAGGCUCCAUGCCUUAUUACCAAGCAACAUAAUGAUUUCGCAAACACUGCUGUGUGAGAAAAUUCAGUUGUUUUUGUUUUGUUUUGGUACUAGGGACUGAACCAAGGGCCUGCACACUAAGCAACAUGCACAGGGUUUCACUAAGUUGCCCAGGCUGGGCUUGAACUUGCAGACCUCCUGCCUCAACCUCCCGGGUGCUGGGAAUAUAGGCGUGCACUACCAGGGCUGGCUAAUUCAGUUGUGUUUUUAUAUUUCAUCAGAUCCGACCCACUGACUCUAAGAGGCACCUUUCUUUUUAUGUACCAGCAGGAAAGAAGGAAUGUUACCCAUUGACCUAAGAUGCGAAGCUUUAUUACUUAGCUGUGAAUUUUAUCCUCAUCAGGAGUUCUCUGUUUUCCCCAUGCACUUCGCAUACACAGGAAGGAAGUGGAGUUCUGUGUGUCCCAGCGCUGGGCAUUGGGCUGGGUGGGACCGAGUUCCAUGCCGUUCUCCGCUGAGACUCUGGCCUGCAGGGGCAGCGCUUCUGUCCCCAAGCGCUGGCAGUGGCCGGCUCUGCUCAGGCCCAGGCUGCUCUCUGGGGCAGUGAGCCUGGCGGGCGCCUCUGGGCCGAGCAGGAGAGCCAGGCUUUGGUGGGGACAGAGUCCCAAAGCACUGGGUGGCAGAUAUGCCACUGUGACACAGCACUGCGUUCACUCGAUGGACCAGCGCUCACCACCCAGCUAUAUCCGCAGGCCUUUUCUCUUUAUUUAUUUUGAGACAGGCUCUAAGUUUCCCAGGCUGGCCUUGAACUUGUGAUCCUCCUGUCCCAGCCUUCAGAGGAG
ensembl:lncRNA